GCGGACUUCGCGGGCGAAGGCGAAGUCGAUUUCCAAAAGUGACUUUCCUCACUCCAGUGAAGUCGGC
ensembl:miRNA